UUAGCUCAUAUUUGUAUGGAAUGGGAUCGUUUGCCCACGUUUGCCGCAAGGGGCGCUGUUCCAACUGCAUACAAUAUUGGGUUA
rfam:Bombyx mori DNA, contig: Bm_scaf51_contig26604, strain: p50T/Dazao, build 2, whole genome shotgun sequence.